CUAUUUCUCGGUAAAGAAAAGGAGAAGGUUCGAUUCCUUCACUCGGCAGAUGUCGAGUUGGUGUAAUGGUAGCACU
rnacentral:tRNA from 1 species